AAAGAGAUGAACAUCUGUAAUAAUUAAUUGCGCUCCAGAUACAUAUCUAAGAAUCAAAUUUUUGAAGAAAAUCAACGGAAAACUCUAUUCAUAGGUUAGUGAUCAAAUCUAAUAUAUCAAACAUGUUAUAAAAUAUAAGUGCAAACUCAAAAUAUAAAUAUAUGUCUAGUAUUUAUUCACCAGUUCGGUCUGAAAAUCAUCUAAUUCUAGAAGAAUAAAACAAAUUACUUAUUUUAUUAACC
rnacentral:lncRNA from 1 species